UUUUUUUUUGUUAAUUGUAAAUUCAUAUGUUUCAACAGCUGACUGAACUGGGGUGAGGGCUGACAGUUUUUUGGUGAGAUUUUAAGAAUCUGAGGAGAUGAUGUGUUUAAAGGGAAAAACAAUCCAGUCAUUAUCCAUGGUAGCUCAAGGAAGUACCUAUGAAAAGGGCUAAACCUUUUUCUUAAAAAAUAAAUUAGGUGUACUCCCAGUGUCAGAGGAGAAUUAUUCAUAAUAGCCAAAAGGUGGAAGCAGCCCAAAUGUCCAUCCACAGAUGAAUGAAAAAAUUGUGGUAUAUACAUACAAUGGAAUAUUAGUCAGCCUUAAAAAGGAGGAAAUUUUGACAAAUGCCACAACAUGAAUGAAACUUGAAGACAUUAAGUGAAAUAGACCAGUCACAAAAGGACAAACAUUAUAUGAUUUCCCUUAUAUGAGGUUUCCGGAGUCGUAAAAUUCAUAGAGACAGAAAGUAGAAUGGUGGUUGCCAGGAACUGGGGAGGCGGAGAAUGAGGAGUGAUUGUUUAAAGGGCACAGAGUUUCAGUCUGGGAAGAUGACAAAGUUCUGGAGAUGGAUAGUGGUAAUGGUUGCACAACUAUAUGAAUGUACUUAAUGCCACAGAAUCGCACAUUUUAAAAUGGUAAUUUUAUGUUAUGUAUUAUUUUACUACAAUUAAGAAAAAAAGAAUGGAAAAAAAUAAAUUAGGAAUACUCCAAAAAAUGCAUGAAUGGCUCAAAGUUUGACAGUGUAGAGCCUGGCCACAAUAAUUUUAACUUGAAAAUCUUUAAAAGGAGGCAUUGCCAAACGCCCACCUUGGUCAUAAAAAAAUCCCAAUAAAUCUCCCAGGUUUAGAAUGUCUAAUUUUUAGAAAUGAAGUUUCCUGGUGAACCUUCCAAGACAAACUGAUUCCAAAACACACAUUUGGGCAAAUGAACUUAUUAGCUUACUGUCUCAGGUUGUUCACUAUAGCCGGUUGGGGACAUGUUCUUAUUAAUUCCUACACCAACUCUAUAUAAGUCAGGUGUGUUUUGUAGAUGAGCAAACCAAGGCUCAGAAAGAUCAAAUAGCUUUCCUAAGGUCAUCUUGCUAGUAAGUAGUAGAUCUUGGAUUUGAACCAACCCUCUCCCAUACGCAUCUUGUCUACACAGGCUCUAAGAGGCCCUACCUCCAUUAUCUUUUAUCACACCUAAUGAAUCCUCCAGCAAAACAGAAAUAUCAUCCCGGUUUCCCUUUGCUGGGUUUUACAGGCUAUUUGGGGCUAGUACAAGACAACUAGAAGGGCCUUAUUCGUAACUAAAGGUAGCCAGCUCCACCUCUGCCGACACCCUCACAACUUAUAUAGGGGACGAAGACCCACAGGAAACGUGUGAAUUUCCUUCACUAUUUCACUUCACUUUGUUUCCUCGUUAGUAAACAUUAUUGAAAAUCUCUGUGUCAGAAGACUGGCCUGGAAACUGGAGGUUUAAAACAAUUCACAGAGAAAAUAUUUGGUAAAUAUGAGUAAGAAAAUGCCCUUUGAUUUCCCACCCUCUGUCCUCAAGCUUUUGAGCACAGGGCCAACUGUGAAGUCAGUUCAGAGCAGCCCUAAGCGGGCCCCCCCUCCCACAAGUCUCCAGGGAUGUCAUUAGUCAAUCAAGCCUGUUCCGAAUUCUAUUCUCCUCCCCUCUAGCCCUUGCUAAUUGCUCCUAAUUAUAUACCCAGGAAUCCCUCUCUCCCUGGGGCGUGUGUCCAGAAAACACAGUGUGUUUUGUCUUCUCUGGGCUAAUUAGGAUUUGCUCAAGGAAGCAGCCGACUUCCUUAGGAGCCAGGUGUGGCCAUGCUGCCAUAGGAUGAAACGGUCUCUUCUCUCUUUGUUCAGGUACCUUGUCCCUUGGCAGCCUAAACUUGCAGAGUGUGCUAAAGGCCCAAUUUGUGCCGCUUUCUCCUUUUUGCACUGCUUCAGUGCAAGUCGUAUUUUAUGGAAGUUCAGUGGCAUUUUUCAAAGUAAAAAGUAAGUGGUCUUCAUAUAUUCCUUAUAUGUGUAAUCUGAGCACCUUUGAAUUUUUUACACGAUGUCUCCUGCCACAUUGAUACAUGCAGUAUUUAUUAACUAACUGCGCCUUUACAAUUCACCAGCUUUUUGAUUGAUUUCCUCUUGGUGGUCACCAGAGGCAUAAAUAACUAGGUGUUUCACACCUUGUGUGUCCACGUCUUUUUUCUGGUCGUAUCUUACUUGUUUGGCCAUGCUGCUAUUUCUGCAAAAAUACUGCACAUCUCAGUGCUGUUGAGAGUUGCUGUGCUAGACUAGAUUUGGGGGUACUGCCCCAAGUGCGUUCUGAAGACCUUUAAAAAAACAUUUCAGUGUGGUGGAAGGAAUAAUGGGCAGAAAGUCAGGAACCCAAAGUUCAAGCUAUGAUUCCACCAUCAACAUCCUUGGUAAAGUUACUUUCCUUCUGUGCACCUCAGUUGUGCCACCUCCAAAAUGGAAAUGUUUUACUAGGUGACAUCCUGUUGCUCUGUCUUCAUUUUGUUGCAUGAACCAUUUGUUCAUUUUGAGUCACAGAGAUUUGAUGAGUUUUAUUGACAUACAAAUUGAAGAAAGCUUGAGCUGUUCUUUAUUUAGCCUUAUUCUCCCCCCCCAAACAAAUGGUUGCCUAGAAGCAUCUACUUCAACUCAGCCAACUUUUCUUUAUUGACUACCAAUGAAAAAUCUUUUCUGCUCCACCUGGAUUUGUGACUUCCCCUCUCUGCUCUCCACCUCUUCAACUCUCCUGGCUCCUGAUCACUGCCCUUUCUCUUGGAAGACUGUUGUCUGCUUUUUCUCCUGUGGGAAUUCGUUUUAUUCCUUCUUCAACGUUAAUUUUACCCUACUCAAUAGCAAAAACUAACUCAUGUUUCUCUGAAAGAUCUUUAAAAUUUAGGGAGUAGUAUAUGAAGGUAAAACUUAAAAUAAAUUCUUAUGAGCAUUUGAUAUUAAUUUGAUAUUAGUCACAUGAAUCCAGAAAUAGACUCUCUUUUUAGAGAAAAGAGGCACCUGCUAUAAUUGCCCCACUUGCCUUGGCUUGGAGGUUGCCAUUUUGGACAGCAAUGUGAGUUUCCUUUCUUCUCGUUUCCUGCCUAUGCGAAUAAGGAAAUGCCAGAGACCUUCCCACCCCCUCAGCCAACCCAGUACUCCCUGUUCAGGUGCUUCUGCCAACUAAUUAACACCUCCUUCGUAAGCUGUAAAUUGGACGGCAGAUGCACAUGAACGCAGAACCCAGUGGGGAGUCUCAUGCUUUCUCUAUACAUGUAUUUCAUGAAAGGUUGGAAGUGAAAUCAAAUAGGCUGAUGGGAAAUUUGUUUUGCCAAAAUGGCCACCCCCAGAAUCUUAUAUAAAUUUAUGGGCUUUUAACACUAAAUAAAUUUCUCAUGUCUUUGGAAGAAAGGCCAGUUUUUGUUGUUUUCAAACAUAAUCCACUAGGUUCUCAAAAUUCUGGAAAAGUGCUUGAACAUCUUUGGGCAGUCCUAGAGUCGUGGGUACCAGAGAUGCAGGCACAUUUGCACACUGACCAUGGAUCCAUUAGACAUUAUCCUUCCAGCCUUCCAAGGACCAGGGUCUUGACCAUUAAAUCCCUGCCUCUAGUCUCAAUCUGUUCCGGUUUAUCCUUUAUUUUGAUGCCAGUGUUCUGUCUAUAAACCAAAUAGGAUCACAUCAUAGGCUUAAAAUAGUUUUAUACUUGUCCAUGACUCAUAGGAUAUAUCCUAAAC
ensembl:lncRNA